UACGUAGGGACCAAGCGUUGUCCGGAAUCAUUGGGCGUAAAGAGCGUGUAGGCGGCUUGUUAAGUCUUGCGUGAAAUCUCGGGGCUCAACCCCGAGCGGUCGUGAGAAACUGGCAGGCUAGAGUGCGGGAGAGGAGAGUGGAAUUCCUGGUGUAGCGGUGAAAUGCGCAGAUAUCAGGAAGAACACCCGUGGCGAAGGCGGCUCUCUGGAACGCAACUGACGCUGAGACGCGAAGGCGUGGGGAGCAAACAGG
rnacentral:rRNA from 1 species